GUGAGGAAUAUUGGUCAAUGGGCGAGAGCCUGAACCAGCCAUGCCGCGUGCAGGAAGAAUGCCCUAUGGGUUGUAAACUGCUUUUAUUUGGGAAUAAACCUUUCUACGUGUAGAAAGCUGAAGGUACUAAAUGAAUAAGCACCGGCUAACUCCGUGCCAGCAGCCGCGGUAAUACGGAGGGUGCAAGCGUUAUCCGGAAUCAUUGGGUUUAAAGGGUCCGCAGGCGGAUUAAUAAGUCAGUGGUGAAAUCUCAUAGCUUAACUAUGAAACUGCCAUUGAUACUGUUAGUCUUGAAUAUGGUCGAUGUGGGCGGAAUAUGACAUGUAGCGGUGAAAUGCUUAGAUAUGUUAUAGAACACCGAUAGCGAAGGCAGCUCACAAGGCCAUUAUUGACGCUCAUGGACGAAAGCGUGGAGAGCAAACAGGAUUAGAAACCCUGGUAGUCC
rnacentral:rRNA from 1 species